rnacentral:rRNA from 1 species
UACGUAGGGCGCAAGCGUUGUCCGGAAUUAUUGGGCGUAAAGAGCUCGUAGGCGGUCUGUUACGUCCGCUGUGAAAACCCAGGGCUUAACCCUGGGCUUGCAGUGGAUACGGGCAGACUAGAGGUAGGUAGGGGAGAAUGGAAUUCCUGGUGUAGCGGUGAAAUGCGCAGAUAUCAGGAGGAACACCAAUGGCGAAGGCAGCUCGCUGGGACGGUACUGACGCUGAGACGCGAAAGCGUGGGGAGCAAACAGG